rnacentral:rRNA from 1 species
GGGUCAGUAGGUUGGUCGUGCCACCGGUACGUACUGGUCUCACUGAUUCCUCCUUCCUGAAGAACCGUAAUGCCAUUAAUUUGGUGUUGCGGGGAAACAGGACUGUUACUCUGAAAAAAUUAGAGUGUUUAAAGCAAGCUAACGCUUGAAUACAUUAGCAUGGAAUAAUGAAAUAGGACGAUCGAUCCUAUUUUGUUGGUUUCCAGGAUUGACGUA